rnacentral:rRNA from 1 species
CUGGCUCAGGAUGAACGCUGGCGGCGUGCCUAACACAUGCAAGUCGAGCGAUUCUCGUUCGGAGAAGAGCGGCGGACGGGUGAGUAACGCGUGGGUAACCUGCCCUGUACACACGGAUAACAUACCGAAAGGUAUGCUAAUACGGGAUAAUAUGUUUUGAUCGCAUGGUCGAAAUAUCAAAGCUCCGGCGGUACAGGAUGGACCCGCGUCUGAUUAGCUAGUUGGUGAGGUAAUGGCUCACCAAGGCGACGAUCAGUAGCCGACCUGAGAGGGUGAUCGGCCACAUUGGAACUGAGACACGGUCCAAACUCCUACGGGAGGCAGCAGUGGGGAAUAUUGCACAAUGGGCGAAAGCCUGAUGACCAGCAACGCCGCGUGAGCGAUGAAGGCCUUCGGUCGUAAAGCUCUGUCCUCAAGGAAGAUAAUGACGGUACUUGAGGAGGAAGCCCCGGCUAACUACGUGCCAGCCGCCGC